GUGUUAGUUCCCCACGUGUCAAGUGUAUACGUCCGUGUGCGUGUUACAGAAAUAAAAAAAAACAGUUACAGCAGGAGUCCACAUGUGCACACAGACUGCCACUUACGUACACAUGGCUGGGCGCUGUAAGUGUCGGGCAGCAGCUCCACCAGCACUCCAGACCAACCCCGGUGUUUCUCCAGGUACAAAGUGUUGCUCAAGUACUCUCCAUCUACCGCUCCCGCCUCCUGGUACACGCCCUUCGUCUGAGGAUUACUAGGACUGCAAGGAAAACUGAUCACUUCCCCGGAGAGAAUUUGAAGCUGAGAGGGACGCAGAGCUGAGCCGUUCACUUCACACCGGGCUGGGAGAAGGGCCAACUCGCGAGCAUCUCCGAGCUGUCCCAAGGGUCAUGUCAUUGUAGGGUCUUGCUGAUCACUCC